GCCAUCUUAGCUCAGUGGUAGAGCGCGUGGCUUUUAACCGCGUGGUCAUAGGUUCAAUCACCAGAGAUGCUG
rnacentral:tRNA from 1 species